rnacentral:rRNA from 1 species
AUUGAACGCUGGCGGCAUGCCUUACACAUGCAAGUCGAACGGCAGCGCGGGGCAACCUGGCGGCGAGUGGCGAACGGGUGAGUAAAAUAUCGGAACAUACCCUAGAGUGGGGGAUAACGUAGCGAAAGUUACGCUAAUACCGCAUACGCACUAAGGUGGAAAGUGGGGGAUCUUCGGACCUCAUGCUCAUGGAGUGGCCGAUAUCUGAUUAGCUAGUUGGUGAGGUAAAGGCUCACCAAGGCGACGAUCAGUAGCUGGUUUGAGAGAACGACCAGCCACACUGGAACUGAGACACGGUCCAGACUCCUACGGGAGGCAGCAGUGGGGAAUUUUGGACAAUGGGGGGCAACCCUGAUCCAGCAAUGCCGCGUGAGUGAAGAAGGCCUCGGGUUGUAAG